CAAGGAUUCCCCUAGUAACUGCGAGUGAAGCGGGAAAAGCUCAAAUUUAAAAUCUGGUAGUCUCUGGCUGCCCGAGUUGUAAUCUAGAGAAGCGUUAUCCGCGCUGGACCGUGUAUAAGUCUCCUGGAAUGGAGCGUCAUAGAGGGUGAGAAUCCCGUCUUUGACACGGACUACCGGGGCUUUGUGAUGCGCUCUCAAAGAGUCGAGUUGUUUGGGAAUGCAGCUCUAAAUGGGUGGUAAAUUCCAUCUAAAGCUAAAUAUUGGCGAGAGACCGAUAGCGAACAAGUACCGUGAGGGAAAGAUGAAAAGAACUUUGGAAAGAGAGUUAAACAGUACGUGAAAUUGUUGAAAGGGAAACGCUUGAAGUCAGUCGCGUUGGCUAGGAAUCAGCCUUGCUUUUGCUUGGUGUAUUUCCUUGUCGACGGGUCAGCAUCAAUUUUGACCGGUGGAAAAAGGCUAGUGGAAUGUGGCAUCUUCGGAUGUGUUAUAGCUGCUAGUUGUAUACAUCGGUUGGGAUUGAGGAGCUCAGCACGCCGAAAGGUCGGGGUUUUGCCCACGUUCGUGCUUAGGAUGCUGGCAUAAUGGCUUUAAUCGACCCGUCUUGAAACACGGACCAAGGAGUCUAACAUGCCUGCGAGUGUUUGGGUGGAAAACCCGAGCGCGUAAUGAAAGUGAAAGUUGAGAUCCCUGUCGUGGGGAGCAUCGACGCCCGGACCAGACCUUUUGUGACGGAUCCGCGGUAGAGCAUGUAUGUUGGGACCCGAAAGAUGGUGAACUAUGCCUGAAUAGGGUGAAGCCAGAGGAAACUCUGGUGGAGGCUCGUAGCGAUUCUGACGUGCAAAUCGAUCGUCAAAUUUGGGUAUAGGGGCGAAAGACUAAUCGAACCAUCU
rnacentral:rRNA from 1 species